GACGAACGCUGGCGGCGUGCUUAACACAUGCAAGUCGAACGGAAAGGCCCCCUUGUGGGGUACUCGAGUGGCGAACGGGUGAGUAACACGUGAGUAACCUACCCUUGACUUUGGGAUAACUUCAGGAAACUGGGGCUAAUACCGGAUAGGAGCUCCUGCUGCAUGGUGGGGGUUGGAAAGUUUCGGCGGUUGGGGAUGGACUCGCGGCUUAUCAGCUUGUUGGUGGGGUAGUGGCUCACCAAGGCUUGACGGGUAGCCGGCCUGAGAGGGUGACCGGCCACAUUGGGACUGAGAUACGGCCCAGACUCCUACGGGAGGCAGCAGUGGGGAAUAUUGCACAAUGGGCGGAAGCCUGAUGCAGCAACGCCGCGUGCGGGAUGACGGCCUUCGGGUUGUAAACCGCUUUCGCCUGUGACGAAGCGUGAGUGACGGUAAUGGGUAAAGAAGCACCGGCUAACUACGUG
rnacentral:rRNA from 1 species